GUCGCCGGGCGCGCGGGGGUGCGGCUGUGGAGCACCGCCACGGUGUCCACAGUGGACGUCGAGGUCGGUUCGGCUCCGGUCAGCGACGCC
rnacentral:tRNA from 1 species